AGGUCAACUAAUCUGUGUCCUAAGUAGCACUCUAUUCCAUUUGCAGGGCACUACUAUCGACCAGAGCCCUAUUGGCUCUAACCCUAUGGGCCCUUGUCAGAAGUAGUGCCCUACAUAGGGGACAGGGUUCCAUUUGGGCCGAUCCAACUCAUCUGUCCAGACGUUGACUGUAAUCACUGUGUUCUGGUUUUCUCUCCAAAGGAGGCCCAAUGAUACAGACCAAUGCAGGUGCUGUGCGAGGUCGUGGCCGAGCGACGGCAGGUAGCCGUGCCCCCGGCCCCCGGGGGUCAUACCUGGGUGGUUACUCUGCUGGGCGGGGUAUCUACAGCCGGUACCAUGAAGGCAAAGCCAAGGGCCCCGACAACAAGGCCUACGAGCUGGUACCCUCUAUGGAGCUGACUGCCUCAGUCAACCCGUUGGGCAUCAAGCCUUGCACAAUGGGCCUGCAGGCUCU